GAUGAACGCUGGCGGCGUGCCUAAUACAUGCAAGUCGAGCGAACAGACGAGGAGCUUGCUCCUCUGACGUUAGCGGCGGACGGGUGAGUAACACGUGGAUAACCUACCUAUAAGACUGGGAUAACUUCGGGAAACCGGAGCUAAUACCGGAUAAUAUAUUGAACCGCAUGGUUCAAUAGUGAAAGACGGUUUUGCUGUCACUUAUAGAUGGAUCCACGCCGCAUUAGCUAGUUGGUAAGGUAACGGCUUACCAAGGCAACGAUGCGUAGCCGACCUGAGAGGGUGAUCGGCCACACUGGAACUGAGACACGGUCCAGACUCCUACGGGAGGCAGCAGUAGGGAAUAUUCCGCAAUGGGCGAAAGCCUGACGGAGCAACGCCGCGUGAGUGAUGAAGGUCUUCGGAUCGUAAAACUCUGUUAUUUGGGAAGAACAAAUGUGUAAGUAACUAUGCACGUCUUGACGGUACCUAAUCAGAAAGCCACGGCUAACUACGUG
rnacentral:rRNA from 1 species